rnacentral:lncRNA from 1 species
UCGGAUAAAAGUUACAGGCCUAAUCAACCCGUUUCGCCAAGCCGCUCUGAAGGUUACGAGUUUGUCCAAGUACCGCGCGGUUUCUUCUCCUCGCUAGCAUCAAUCCCGUUCCAAUGCUCCAUGACUCGUGAUCGAGUGUGGUGUCCUGUCUCCAGCGACCACAACACAUCGCAACACAUCAAAACCGCGACUGUCGUCGCCUCUCCUCUUCCUCGUGAAAUCAAGCUCGAGCCCUCGUCUCUCCUCCGCCAUGGCUACAACUUGCGGAGGUCUUUAAUUCAAGCUUCGUCGACACCGACCUCAGCCAUCGUCUUCCAUUCGUCAUGAAGCCACCGGAUCAAGCUUCCACGGUGAGCUCCUCCAUCUCCGUCAAUGUCGCACUCUUCUUCCUCGUGGUUCAAAACCGAGAUUGAAUCGAAGCCAUCCACCACAGGAUUCUCUUUUCCACGCCGGGCUCAGCUCCACCGUGGCUGUACUGGUCGUCGCCGUUAAAGAGAUCUGGCGGAAGAAAGGUCGUAGCCUCCAAUGGUGGAUUUUAGAAUAAUUGCAUAUCUAGCUCUUCAACCUUUGGAUAUUUAUUCUGUGACCCCAAAACUAUUGACAUUGCAGAAAAGUCCACUCGAAUUAACCCCAAAGUUCCAAUUGUGCAAAGAAGCCCAACCGACUAUUCUGAAUUCGCGACCUUGGUCCCUGGAUUCUCCUGGCCUUUCAUUUCUGCCCCAAACUCUAUAAAUCGCAGAGAUAACCUUUCGAAUUGGACCUGAAACUCCCAAAUGUGCACUCCACACCUUAAUGCACAUAAAUUGACAAAUAUAUGCAAUGUAGACAACUAAAUGCAACUCAAAACACUAAUAUGAAUAAUAAAUAUAUGUUAAAAACUAUUAAAAUCAUGAGAUAUCAACUCCCCCAC